rnacentral:rRNA from 1 species
GACGAACGCUGGCGGCGUGCUUAACACAUGCAAGUCGAACAGUGGCGAACGGGUGAGUAACACGAGAGUAACCUGCCCUCCACUUUGGGAUAACUCCGAGAAAUCGGGGCUAAUACUGGAUAGUGGGGGGUGGGUUCGCGGCCUAUCCGUUUGGUGGGGAGGUAGUGGUCACCAAGGCGUGACGGGUAGCAGGCCUGAGAGGGUGACCGGCCACAUUGGUACAGAGACACGGCCCGGACUCCUACGUGAGGAAGAAGUGGGGAUUUGUGCACAAUGGGCGAAAGCAGGAUGCAGCGCCGCCGCGUGGGGGAUGACGGCCUUCGGGUUGUAAGCCUCUUUCAGCAAGGAAGCGGUACUUGCAGAGGAAGCGCCGGCUAACUACGUGCCAGCCGCCGCGGUAAUUC